rnacentral:rRNA from 1 species
GACGAACGCUGGCGGCGUGCUUAACACAUGCAAGUCGAACGAGGAUAUUACUGGAAGGGCUUCGGUCCGGAAGGAGAUAUUCGAGUGGCGGACGGGUGAGUAACGCGUGAGCAAUCUGUCCCAGACAGGGGGAUAACACUUGGAAACAGGUGCUAAUACCGCAUAAGACCACGGUAUCGCAUGGUACUGAGGUAAAAGGAGCAAUCCGGUCUGGGGUGGGCUCGCGUCCGAUUAGAUAGUUGGUGAGGUAACGGCCCACCAAGUCGACGAUCGGUAGCCGACCUGAGAGGGUGAUCGGCCACAUUGGAGCUGAGAGACGGUCCAAACUCCUACGGGAGGCAGCAGUGGGGAAUAUUGGGCAAUGGGCGAAAGCCUGACCCAGCAACGCCGCGUGAGUGAAGAAGGCCUUCGGGUUGUAAAGCUCUGUUAUGUGGGACGAAGGAGUGACGGUACCACAUAUGAAGCCCCGGCUACUACGUGCCAGCAGCCGCGUAUACGUAGGGGCGAGCGUUGUCGGAUGCUGGGCGUAAAGGCGUGUAGCGCCGAAUAAAUAUGGAGUGAAAUCUGCUUUCAAGUGGAAUGCUGACCGGUGGCUGGGGGCCAAAAGAAUGGGAUUCCCUCUCCGCAACCUCAAUGUGGGAACAUUGAAGACAUUUGGUUUUACUUACGAACGGGGGAGGAAUCUGUCCGCCGUGAUC